GCAUCCCUUCAUGUAAUUAUCUUGUCUAUAAAACUUCUGUAUUUCUAUAUAGUUAUCAUGUCUUUAAGACUCCUACAUUUCCAUAUAGUUAUCAUGCCUAUAAGGUUUCUAGAUCUCAUUUAGCUACAUGGUUAUAAGAAUUUCUGCAUCUCAUUUAGCUGCCAUGUCUAUAUGAAUCCUGCACUUCCAUAUCUGUAGCUCCUGCACACACAUAUAUAAAAUAUGCCUA
rnacentral:lncRNA from 1 species